GGACUAAAAUAAGAUAGACUUUCCUAGUUAUCAUUAAGAGGUGAUAAUUUGCAGCCUAAGUGUGUUGCCAUGGAGAUGUGAGAAGCCCCCAAAGAGGGAGGCCGGGGAGUUACGGCCUAAUCCUGAGGUGAUUUUCAAUAGCACCAGCUGUCCCGGGGCUGAAAGGCAUGGCAAAUUACACCAUUAUUGGAGGGAAAUAGGGAGGCUAAGCUAAUUAUUUGUGGGCUUUAGACACAGGUGUUCAUAAAAGCGGGGCCGUGUGCUCCUCAUCAAGGCCGGCUGGGGAGGGGGAGGCCCGGCGGGAGGCCCUGGCUCUCAUUUCAAUCACAAAGGGCGGCCAUGGGCACGCUGCCGCCAUGCUGCGCGCGGGGCCUUCGCCACAGGUGUUGUUCCAGGGCACCUGUGCUACGUGGGGCGUGCGUCAGGAAUAAACACCGAUUCUUGUUGGCAUAGACCGAAGAACAUCUACUGGAGAGCACAGCGUGGGCAAUUUGCUCUGUCUUGUAGUAUGCUGGGUAAAUGUACCGUCUCUCUUGGUUGCAGCCUUCAGGAGCAUAGCAAAAAUGACUAA
rnacentral:lncRNA from 1 species